rnacentral:lncRNA from 1 species
AUGACAACCCCAGGAGAAGAGGCUAAUACGUGUUCAGGUAAGAAUCAGUUUACUUCAACAUCAAAAUAUUUACUAAAAUCCAGGAAGCAUUGCAAGUUGAGACGCACCUUUCUUUAUGAGCACGUUCAACUGUACAGUGAUGAAAGUAUCUUUACUGCGGAUUCAUCGAAGGAAUGUUAUUUCUCACUGCAAGUCAAAUCAUUGCAUAGAAAAACAAGCAGGAAGCUCCAACGCAUUGGCGUCGGAGAGCGGCUCUGGGGGCAGUAGUUGUAGUCAAGAAUGAGGGCCUAGACACAUUUUGUCAUUGAUGUACAAUCCGACAACUGUCGAUUCAUGUUUUGUAACUUAGCAGAUUUACGUAGCCGGUGUAUAAAUGUGUAUUGGGCUUUGAUAUGGCGAAUACAUGGCAUUAUCACUUGUUGUAUACUUUUAAUUUUGAAAGCUCUUUGGAGGUCCGCUUCCUAAAAAAUCUCUGGUUGAUAAGUCGUUUAGCGAGGCUGCAAAAAAUUUGCAUUUUUAUAUCUGAAAAUGUAGGUAUUGGUUUUUUGUAUAAUUGUUUUUUUGGAUUGCUGGAAAAGUAACGCAUACUUCUAUAAUUUAGGAUUGAGUCAGGGAAAUAUAAGGUUCGUUAAAUAGUAAAUAUUCCUAGUACCGUGUGACACUAUUGUUAACGAAAAGUUUUUGCAACUUGUCAAAGAGGUUGUUGAAUGAUCUUCGAAUAACUUUUGAUGAGCUAGAGGUAAUGGUUCUAUCUGCAGCUCGUGGAAACUGUACGAUAUUGUCCAGAAUCAUCUGAAUUUUUAAAAAGUGUCCGCUUGUUCGAUACCCAAUUUGCUCAAAUGCUCAUUCAUGCAUACAAGGAGAAGCGCAUGAAAGCUUUAGCAGACAUUUUGGAGAUGAAUCAAGAAUUAGAUGAAGAAUUUAUGACUUAAAUCACGGCACCUUAAUCACGGGAUGACCUUAAUUACGGCAACUAUUUAUUGUCCAUGAGAUGCAGAUGGUUCCAUUUCCCUAGCUCAUCAAAAGGUAUUCGAAGAUCAAUUUCAUCAGCCACCUGUACGAACCACGUUUCUAGUGACCCGUACUUGCUUCGCACGUAUGAAACAUACAAUCAGAGAAAACAGAAUUCAUCUUACAAUAAUCAAUAAUCAGUAGGACAUGAAUCCUUGCGAUGUAUAAUACGACAUUAUAAUGCUGCAUUACUAUUGUAAUUCAUUUUAAUGGAUUAGGGGCAUUAUAAAUCAUUAUUGCCACGUCGGAAUGAAAUGUUGUAGACUGAAUUGAAAAGCAUGUUGGCAAAAUUUAUUAUAAAAAUAGUAUAACAUGUAGGUACAUAACAUAAAGGUAAUACAAAUUAAAUGAUUAGAGCGUGUAUAUUUCAUUACAUUAUAUGUAUAUUACAAUCAUUUUUGUCAUUGUUGGAAAUUUUGAUAGUUUGAAAUUUGAUAGUUGAUAUUUGAUAGUUUGAUAGUUGAAAAUUUGGUUAUUUUAUUUAGUUAAGGUGAUUCGAUAGACGCCAUAUUUUGUGUCAGAAUGGCAUGCGACAUAUCCCAUCAAUUGGUUCCAUUUUUUCAUUUACUCAUCAUUUUUCUCCAAUUUUAAGUUUCGCAAUUCUGUUUUCAGGAGACUAAAGCACUCACUUAUCAAUUUGUAUAUUUAUAUUGAGUUAAGGGUAGAGACGUAUUCCUCACCGGAAUUGAUGUCGAAAUUUCGACAUCAGCGACGAUCAACGCUACGAUACUGGAAGCCAGUCUUCCGAUAUUAAAUCCCUAGCGGGGAAGAAAAAAAAUGCCUAGAUUUCGCUAAAAAUCCCUAAAUCCCCAGAUUUGCUCAAAUAUACUUAAAAAAUCCCUAGAUUUUGCAAAAAGCGCCAUUUUUAACGAAGAAUCAUGAUGUCAUUCGAUGUAGCGAUUUGCAAUAUUUAAAUCUGAUUGGCUCGUUUGAAUUUUGGCGCUCUCUGAAAGCAGUGCUAAUCCAGACCAAUAAAAUAAAAGAAUAUUAGUUGAUUUCUUAUUAUUAACAGGUUGAAUUCAGUUGAAUGUCAAGUACAUCGAAGGACGCAAUCGUUUUAAUUUCCGGCUUAUUUGCGGGGAAAAUAGUGUUGCCAAAAAGGCCUUCAAAAUAUAGAUGAAAAAAUGUUUUCGAUUGUCGAAGCUAGAAUUGAGGUUAAAAAGUUAAUUUUUGGUAACUUUACCUCAUCAAAAAAAAAUCCCUAGAUUUCCUGAAAAAUCCCUAAAUCCCUGGAAAUUCCGGAAAAUUCCUAAAUCUAGGGAUAAACCCUUAGACAUCGGAUGGCUGUUGGAAGCAUUAGAGUCAACAUUUGAAACGCUGCUGCAGAAUUUGCCGGGAGUAUAAUCGAGUGUUGAAAGUCAGUAGAAUUGAACAAUGUAAUAAUUGCUUUCCGAAAUUAGCGUUAUAAUAAAAAAACCACGAAUCUGAACUGUAAAUACUGGAACACACCUUCUGUAAAUGUACCUUGCGAGAGAUAAGUAAAAAAAUAGAUGUACUGGAGGAGAAGUGCUUCUCCACAGAGUUUGAAGAAGGAAAAAAAAUGCCCAAAUUUACUUACUUCAGCAUUUUCGGCAAAAUCACUGCAAUUUCCGAACCUUUUUCUGGCCAGGGGCCAAAAUUAAAUGAUUAUGAAGGGCCACUUAGAUGUUGUAGAUAAAAAUAGGACUGUUGAAAAAGUCGCCGUUUUCAAUAAAUAUGUUCCCGGAAUGGAAGACA